rnacentral:tRNA from 1 species
ACUUAAAUAGCUUAUAUUAGAGCGUGUCAUUGAAGAUGAUAAUGAGGUUAUUGAACCUUUGAGUA